rnacentral:rRNA from 1 species
GUGGGGAAUCUUCCACAAUGGGCGAAAGCCUGAUGGAGCAACGCCGCGUGAGUGAUGAAGGCCUUCGGGUUGUAAAGCUCUGUUAUUCGGGACGAAAGAGCGCAUGGCUAAUAUCCAUGCGAAGUGACGGUACCGAAAGAGAAAGCCACGGCUAACUACGUGCCAGCAGCCGCGGUAAUACGUAGGUGGCAAGCGUUGUCCGGAAUUAUUGGGCGUAAAGCGCGCGCAGGCGGCCUUUUAAGUCCAUCUUGAAAGCGUGGGGCUCAACCUCAUGAGGGGAUGGAAACUGGUAGGCUGGAGUAUCGGAGAGGAAAGCGGAAUUCCUAGUGUAGCGGUGAAAUGCGUAGAGAUUAGGAAGAACACCAGUGGCGAAGGCGGCUUUCUGGACGACAACUGACGCUGAGGCGCGAAAGCGUGGGGAGCAAACAGGAUUAGAUACCCCGGUAGUCC